rnacentral:lncRNA from 1 species
AUGGACAAGGAGGCUACAGCAAGACCGAGUAGAAACGUCCAGGUUCAGACAAUGAGGAAUUCAUCCACCAGGCUCUGUCAGAUUGUGACUGUGCAGUUGGUUUCUUCUGGAAGAGCCCCCAGUGAUGUGGCAGUGUUCAGAUGGAUCAGAUUUCCCCCUGCUCAAGGUUGCUAUCAGCCAGCGUGGAUGACAGUCUAGGACCUCGGCCUGAGAGAUACAUAGAGGCAAGUGGUCGCCACUGAGGAGGCAAAGAACAUUGUGCCCAGCAUGGUGAAUCACCACAAAGAGGCUCCUCCC